rnacentral:rRNA from 4 species
GAGCAGGUCUGUCCGAGCGUCCG